rnacentral:rRNA from 1 species
GACGAACGCUGGCGGCGUGCUUAACACAUGCAAGUCGAACGGAAAGGCCCUGCUUUUGUGGGGUGCUCGAGUGGCGAACGGGUGAGUAACACGUGAGUAACCUGCCCUUGACUUUGGGAUAACUUCAGGAAACUGGGGCUAAUACCGGAUAGGAGCUCCUGCUGCAUGGUGGGGGUUGGAAAGUUUCGGCGGUUGGGGAUGGACUCGCGGCUUAUCAGCUUGUUGGUGGGGUAGUGGCUUACCAAGGCUUUGACGGGUAGCCGGCCUGAGAGGGUGACCGGCCACAUUGGGACUGAGAUACGGCCCAGACUCCUACGGGAGGCAGCAGUGGGGAAUAUUGCACAAUGGGCGGAAGCCUGAUGCAGCAACGCCGCGUGAGGGAUGACGGCCUUCGGGUUGUAAACCGCUUUCGCCUGCGAAGAAGCGUGAGUGACGGUAAUGGGUAAAGAAGCACCGGCUAACUACGUG